rnacentral:misc_RNA from 1 species
UGUCCGCGAUGCACCUCGGCUCGGCUCUCUCUUUCCCAUCUCACUUGUGACUUUUCCACAUGAGGCCAGGACCUGGAGUGUCGAAUUCGUGAAUUAGUGCCCAUGUAUUCGCUGACUUCCUUCAAAAUUCGCCGUAAAAGCAUUCAGUAAUCUAUUCGUGGAUAAAUCGAGAAAACAGAUUUGACGUUUGCGGUCGUCCGAAAAGGAAAGGAGGAGGCGAGAGAGAACGGCCAGCGGCGGCGUGUGAGCGGACCCGAAGAAGCAGCGACAAAGCAAAGCGGAAAGUGAACCGCGGAGAACCGGAGGAAGGCAACGGAGUGUCCAGCGGUGACAGUGACAGCAGGGCGACAGCGGCUGAAAAGGACUUGUGUCGGUUGCGAGGACGAGUGAGCGGAGGCCUGCGUGCGUGAUCGGCGCUGUUUCGGCCCUUGAUUGACGUUCUCACCCCGGAUCGGGCCGCGUCGGCACCCGAGUCCGCUGACGGCCAUAUUUUGCCACGAGAGCUUUCUCGCCGUCGACGUUCUCAACCCAAUUUCCCCGUCUCCGUCGAACCGUCGGCGCUCGCGUACACUCCGCAUCGACGGCGACACACGGCACUUUUGUAAUUUACAUAGCACACAUCGACUUACUCGCUCACGUCUUGAUCGCUCCGUAAUCGCAGUGAUUUUGGAAAUUCGCAAAAAUGUCGAACGAAGAAACGUCAGCAGAUCGCAAUGUGGAAAUCUGGAAAAUCAAGAAACUCAUCAAGAGUUUAGAAAUGGCUCGCGGAAAUGGCACAAGCAUGAUAUCAUUAAUUAUUCCACCUAAAGAUCAAAUUUCCCGUGUAAGCAAAAUGUUAGCUGAUGAAUUUGGUACUGCAUCGAAUAUAAAAUCUCGCGUGAACAGACUUUCUGUCUUGGGUGCCAUUACCUCCGUACAGCAUCGACUAAAACUGUACACCAAAGUGCCUCCAAACGGUUUAGUAAUUUAUUGUGGCACUAUCGUCACAGAAGAAGGAAAGGAGAAAAAAGUCAAUAUAGAUUUCGAACCAUUUAAGCCAAUUAAUACUUCACUUUAUCUGUGCGACAACAAAUUUCAUACUGAAGCAUUAACGGCGCUUUUGGCAGAUGAUAAUAAAUUCGGUUUUAUAGUUAUGGAUGGUAAUGGCGCUCUAUUCGGUACACUCCAGGGAAAUACCAGAGAAGUUUUGCAUAAAUUCACAGUAGACUUGCCGAAGAAACACGGUCGUGGUGGUCAGUCAGCACUUCGUUUUGCCCGUCUGCGUAUGGAAAAGAGGCACAAUUACGUUCGAAAAGUGGCGGAAGUGGCAACACAAUUAUUUAUCACAAACGAUAAGCCAAACAUAGCAGGACUAAUUUUGGCUGGUAGUGCUGAUUUCAAAACUGAAUUGAGUCAAUCGGACAUGUUUGAUCCUAGGUUGCAAAGUAAAAUUAUCAAACUGGUGGAUGUAUCUUAUGGCGGCGAAAAUGGAUUCAAUCAAGCAAUAGAGUUGGCAGCUGAAUCAUUACAAAACGUGAAAUUCAUUCAAGAGAAGAAACUAAUCGGCCGAUACUUUGAUGAAAUUUCUCAGGAUACGGGGAAAUACUGUUUUGGUGUUGAGGAUACUCUACGAGCAUUGGAACUUGGUGCUGUAGAGACUUUAAUUUGCUGGGAAAACUUGGACAUUCAACGAUAUGUUUUAAAAAAUCAUGCGAACUCAACAUCGACCACAGUAUUACAUCUGACGCCCGAACAAGAAAAAGACAAGUCUCAUUUCACGGACAAAGAGAGUGGGGUUGAAAUGGAAUUGGUGGAAUCCCAACCGUUGCUUGAAUGGCUUGCGAACAACUACAAGAGUUUCGGUGCUACACUGGAAAUUAUCACGGAUAAAUCACAAGAAGGUAGUCAAUUUGUGAGAGGAUUCGGUGGUAUCGGAGGAAUUUUGCGUUAUAAGGUAGAUUUUCAGUCACUACAAGCCGAUGAGCCAUUGGAUGAUGUUGACCUCGAUGACUACUAAGCAUUUGAGAGAAGGAAGAGAGGUCAUUACAGUGAAAGUACAUCAAACAUUUAAUUUCACCUUAUAUCAUAAUCGCGAUACGAAAUAAUCGUUUUAAAUAUUUUCAAGAGAAAAAACAAACACAAUGAUUGAGAAAAGUAUUUUACGUUACAAGGUAGACUUCCAGAGCAUGCAACUAGAUGAUAUUGAUAAUGACUAUUAUGACUUAGAUAGCUAUUAGAGAAACAAAAAGAAGCAAACAAAAUAAAAGAAUGGUAAUAAUACCUCAAAUUAUUCGCAGCAAAAUGAAGAAGACAAAACGAAUGAAACCAUUACAUGAGAUAAUAGUAAAUGGAAAAUAUGUUUAACAGUAAUUUUGAAUGCAACAGCAAGAAUGAAAAAAAAAAUGAAAGAAAACCAACAAAAGAGAAAACUAUAUAUGGAAACAGAUCUUAUUUACUACUAUACUAUAUAAUUGAUAAAAAUAUAUAAACCAUUUUUUUAACGUUUUGGUGUAUUUGUGCCUGACGCCUACACGUGUUCCAACACAACAACAAACGACAGUUUGCAAUAUGUUCAAUAAUUUUUCUUUUUCGAUUUUAUUUUACCAUCCUCUUACCUGUAGCUAUAUUAACUGAAAUAUCGAAAAGAGCAAAACUAGAAGGAAUCCGAAAUAAAAGAAACAAUUCAAAUAAUUCUCGAACCAAUUUUUUUUUUCUUUUCUAAACGGCGCAAUUUUCACAAUUAGACUUUUCCCCGCUCUUUCUUUUAACUUCACAACAUCCAAUACUCCCUCUCUCGAAUAUCUCCUUUUUCUUGUAUGAUUAAAUGUUCCAAUUAGAGCACAUUCAGAUAUGUAGCGUAUGUGUAUGCAAGUGAAAAAUGAAAACGAAGGGUUUUCUGCCCCUUAUCUAAUCAUUUCGAAGUAAAGUGGUGUAAAAUAUAUUUAUUAUUCGAAAUUGAACGGAUUAGUUUUAAUACUUAAUUUAUUUGUGGCUGGAGAUGUCGACGACAAGGAACCCUUCGUGCGGUUCGUCUCAGCCCAUUUCAAUGGCAAUGAUCUGUUGGUAAUUUCGACUUCUGUUGCAUGCAGCCGUCUUGUCUCGGGCGGUUCAGUGAAGUCUCGUCGGUAGCGGAAACAAUACGGUCCUCAAUGGCUAACAUUAUUCUGAUCCAUUUGAAGAUGCUUAGGUUUUCCCUUGAGUGACAAAACUCCUGGGCCAAAUUUUAAUGUAAUGUCGCAAUCGUAUGGGGUUCAGUGCAAAACUUUCAUUAUAGAAUGAAUUUACAUGGCCCAAACUUGAUUUUAAGUCAUUUUACAUGGUAAGGUAGCAUUUGAGAUUAAUUUUGAACGAAAAAUAUGCAGUGAAAGGCAGGCUACAUCUGGCUUAUGAAUCAUUUCCAUCCGAGCAAUAGGUGUAGUUUCCGUUGCGAUUCCAUUCCCUAUUAUUACUUUCAAUACCAAUCUACAAUGUUACGCAUGAGAAUUUUUUCGAAGAAUACUAUUUCAGAUUAUAGAGUUAAAUUAGUGUCGCCAAUAAUGUGUUUUCAGUCUUUGAGGCAGCGGUUGUUCGAAUACAGAUUUUACACGAAAUUUUCAGUUUCUCACAUUUCCAUAUAGUCCGAGCUAUCCCUGAAAAGAAUAUUUUUCCAAAAACAAAACUACAAAAUUAAACUGUACGAACCUAUGAAUGCAAUAUAUUCGUUCGUCACUGUAAUAGUUGUAUUUAUAGGUUGAAUGUGUGAAUAAUAUAUUACAAAUAUACUGAUUUUUGUGAUGUACUCGAUUAAUUUUAAAUCUGAACUUUAUAAAUAUACGAUUAAUUUAACUAAGA